rnacentral:rRNA from 1 species
AUUGAACGCUGGCGGCAUGCUUUACACAUGCGAGUCGAACGGCAGCGCGGGGCAACCUGGCGGCGAGUGGCGAACGGGUGCGUAAUAUAUCGGAACGUACCCAGAAGUGGGGGAUAACGUAGCGAAAGUUACGCUAAUACCGCAUACGAUCUACGGAUGAAAGUAGGGGACCGCAAGGCCUUAUGCUUUUGGAGCGGCCGAUAUCUGAUUAGCUAGUUGGUGAGGUAAAGGCUCACCAAGGCGACGAUCAGUAGCUGGUCUGAGAGGACGACCAGCCACACUGGAACUGAGACACGGUCCAGACUCCUACGGGAGGCAGCAGUGGGGAAUUUUGGACAAUGGGCGCAAGCCUGAUCCAGCAAUGCCGCGUGAGUGAAGAAGGCCUUCGGGUUGUAAAGCUCUUUUGUCAGGGAAGAAACGGUAGAGGCUAAUAUCCUUUGCUAAUGACGGUACCUGAAGAAUAAGCACCGGCUAACUACGUG